rnacentral:rRNA from 1 species
UACAGAGGUCUCAAGCGUUGUUCGGAUUCAUUGGGCGUAAAGGGUGCGUAGGUGGCGAGGCAAGUCAGAUGUGAAAUCCCAGGGCUCAACCCUGGAACUGCAUUUGAUACUGCCCUGCUUGAGUACUGGAGAGGAGAUUGGAAUUUACGGUGUAGCAGUGAAAUGCGUAGAUAUCGUAAGGAAGACCAGUGGCGAAGGCGAAUCUCUGGACAGUUACUGACACUGAGGCACGAAGGCCAGGGGAGCAAACGGG